GGGUAUAUAGUUCAAUGGUUAGAACGACUGUCUUUUAAUCAGUAUAUGUGAGUUCAAAUCUCAUUGUACCUA
rnacentral:tRNA from 1 species